UACCAGCACCCCGAGUGGUCGGGACGUUUAUUGGGCCUAAAGCAUCCGUGGCCGGUUCUGCAAGUCUUCCGUUAAAUCCACCUGCUUAACAGAUGGGCUGCGGAAGAUACUAUAGAGCUAGGAGGCGGGAGAGGCAAGCGGUACUCGAUGGGUAGGGGUAAAAUCCGUUGAUCCAUUGAAGACCACCAGUGGCGAAGGCGGCUUGCCAGAACGCGCUCGACGGUGAGGGAUGAAAGCUGGGGGAGCAAACCGG
rnacentral:rRNA from 1 species